GACGCCGGCACUGUGCGCGCUGUUCCGGUGGACGUGGAGCCCGGUGGCCAAGAGGAUCCCAUCUUUCACAGCUAUGGAGCGGUGGGAGAAGGAGGCAAUGAGGAGCUCAUUCCACCCUGGAAAACAAGCAAGGCUGCAGAUACUGGACAUGAUGCUUCAGGAGACAGCAAAAUGCAUCCUCUGAGCCCAGACCAUGGGAGCAGUUUGGGGAAGGGAGAUGUGGCCUCCCUCCCUCCCAGCUCCUCUUCCUAAGGUUGGAAAAGCAAAACCUUCACCUUCUCUCUCAGAAAGGUCUCUUCUCACUGACUGAAAUGCAAGGUCCACGUGUGUUGUAUUUACCUAGUGUUGCAGAGAUGGGUUGUUCCAUUGGAAUGUU